UCCCCAGCCCAGGUACAAUAGCGCAUGCCUU
rnacentral:piRNA from 1 species